GAGGAAACUGAGCGUCCAGUGGCUAACUGGCUUGCCUGAAGCUGUGGCCAGUAAGAGUCUGAAAAGAGAUUUAACCUCAGCUCCAAGAUCACAGGCCAGAGCUCAGGCCCCAACAGAACAGUUGCCUGAGUGACUUGAAACAAAACCAGGGCAGAAUGUCACCGGAUCAGGGCCCAGGAGCUGUUGUCAUGCACUGAGGGUAAGCCUUCCAGGGAAGGAGAUAGCUGAAAGGAGACCUCAGGGCUGAGAAUGAGAUUGGAUGCUGGCCCAAGUGACUUCCAGCCUGACCAUCUGUGACUCAGGAUGGACCCACCUACCAGGCCGUACAAGGUGGUCUUAUAAGAAGAGGAGAAAACACAGAGACACACAGGAAGAAGGUACGAAGGUGAUGUGCAGAUGGAGGUAGAAACUGCAGUGAGAAGCCAAGCCAGGCAAGGCUGACAGCCACCAGAAGCAGGACAAGGCAAGGAAGGAGGCUCCUCCCCUGGAAACUUCAGAGGGAGCGCAGGCCUGCUGACCCCUGGAUUUCAGGCGUCUGGUCUCUAUAACUGUGAGAAAUAAAUUUCUCUUGUUUAGUAGCCACCAACCGUGUGGUGAUUUGUUAUAGCAGCCCUGGGAUCUAAUUUAAGCAGCACCCCCACCCUCCACAUACACAAGGACUCACUAGUCAUUCCCUUUUGAUCCUCUCAUGUCAAUGAUC